UACGGGGGGGGCAAGCGUUGUUCGGAAUUACUGGGCGUAAAGGGCUCGUAGGCGGCCAACUAAGUCAGACGUGAAAUCCCUCGGCUUAACCGGGGAACUGCGUCUGAUACUGGAUGGCUGGAGUUUGGGAGAGGUGAGUGGAACUGCGAGUGUAGAGGUGAAAUUCGUAGAUAUUCGCAAGAACACCAGUGGCGAAGGCGGCUCACUGGCCCGAUACUGACGCUGAGGUGCGAAAGCGUGGGGAGCAAACAGG
rnacentral:rRNA from 1 species